CGAAGGGGGUACACCUGUACCCAUCCCGAACACAGAAGUUAAGCCCUUCAGCGCCGAAGAUAGUGAAAGCAAAAAUAGGACGUAGCCAAGA
rnacentral:rRNA from 1 species